rnacentral:rRNA from 1 species
UGAGGAAUAUUGGGCAAUGCCCGCAAGGGUGACCCAGCAACGCCGCGUGGAGGAUGAAUGUCGUAAGAUUGUAAACUCCUGUUAGAGGGGAAGAAUAGUACCGGUUGGACCGGUAUAUGACUGUACCCUCAGAGAAAGCCCCGGCUAACUACGUGCCAGCAGCCGCGGUAAUACGUAGGGGGCAAGCGUUGUACGGAUUUACUGGGUGUAAAGGGCGCGCAGGCGGGAUAAAAAGUCAGUGGUGAAAUCCUACAGCUUAACUGUAGAACUGCCUUUGAUACUUUUAUUCUUGAGUUCGGGAGAGAGAGACGGAAUUCCAGGUGUAGUGGUGAAAUACGUAGAUAUCUGGAAGAACACCAGUUGCGAAGGCGGUCUCUUGGUCCGACACUGACGCUGAGGCGCGAAAGCGUGGGGAGCAAACA